UUAGUGCUCACCUGUGUUCCAGGCUUUAUGAUGCUCACUGCACUUGGUCAUUUGCUUCUGGUUUGAGCCUGGUGACAGUGGCUUUAAAGCUGACUAAAACAGCCUGUGGCCUUGGAGUAGAGCAUUAUUUCUACUUGAGACCUACUGGGCAGGUUUGGUGACAUGGACCCAUAAAAUCACAAAGGAGAUGGAAAGUGCAGUUCUGUCCCACUCCUAGAAAGGCAGAAACCUGGAAAUAUAUGGGGAAUUAUGAAACGAUGAGCUGCAGAUGAGGUGAUGGAGGAGCAUCCCCUUGUAUUGUCGUGGACUCCACAGCUCUCUCCAAGUCAAGGGUCAACCUUGAGUCCAACAAGGAAGCCAAGUGUCUUUCAGUCAGGCUGGGUCUGCAGCAGCUGGACCAACCUGGUCCUGGGGAAGACAUUGCCACCACGAGGCCCUUGUGUCAGCUGCGAUCCUUAGGAGAUCUUGAGGUGUUCUUGUGAAGCUCAUUGUGUUAUGGAUAGAAAAGACCUUUUCUGACCUAUAACUUUCCUACCACUGAAUUCUCUAAUUCUCAUUUAAAAAUUUUUCAAGCAAAAUGUCUACCUUUGUUUUGGGA